UACAGAGGUCCCAAGCGUUGUUCGGAUUCACUGGGCGUAAAGGGUGCGUAGGUGGUCAGGUAAGUCUGAUGUGAAAUCUCUGGGCUCAACCCAGAAACUGCAUUGGAUACUAUCUGGCUAGAGGAGUGGAGGGGGGACUGGAAUACUUGGUGUAGCAGUGAAAUGCGUAGAUAUCAAGUGGAACACCAGUGGCGAAGGCGAGUCCCUGGACACUUCCUGACACUGAGGCACGAAAGCGUGGGGAGCAAACAGG
rnacentral:rRNA from 1 species